CAAAAUUCUUGUCUUAAAUUUGUCUAAAUACGGAUGUAUCUAGUUACAUUUUAGUGUUAGAUACAUCCGUAUCUAAACAAAUGUAAGACAAGAAUUUUG
rnacentral:pre_miRNA from 1 species